rnacentral:pre_miRNA from 1 species
GUACUACUUCAUUCGUUCGGAAUUACUUGUCGUAGAAAUGGAUGUAUCUAGACAUUUUUUAGUUUUAGAUACAUCCAUUUCUGUGACAAGUAAUUCGAAAGGGAGGGAGUACUUA